rnacentral:rRNA from 1 species
UACGAAGGGGGCUAGCGUUGCUCGGAAUCACUGGGCGUAAAGGGUGCGUAGGCGGGUCUUUAAGUCAGGGGUGAAAUCCUGGAGCUCAACUCCAGAACUGCCUUUGAUACUGGCGAUCUUGAGUCCGGGAGAGGUGAGUGGAACUGCGAGUGUAGAGGUGAAAAUUCGUAGAUAUUCGCAAGAACACCAGUGGCGAAGGCGGCUCACUGGCCCGGUACUGACGCUGAGGUGCGAAAGCGUGGGGAGCA